UGCUUGCGAUAGGCUGUGCUCUAGAA
rnacentral:piRNA from 1 species